GGAUCUAGUGGUCAUGGAGAGGGCAGGGGCACCGGCUCCGGUUCUAGCUCCGCCAUGUCUACCUAUUAUGGAAAAGAGGAUGCAAAUGCAAGUGUUAAGGGUAGUGGAGGUGGCAAAGGAGGCGGGGAAAAUGGUGGCAGCGGCAGUGGUGGCGGGAGCGGAUCCGGAAAUGCCGAAGCAAACCCUUAAGUUGCCUUUUUGACAUGGCCAAGUGUUUUAAGUUGUCGCAAUCAUUCAUGUUUUCCUUUUUUUUCCUCCCGCUAACAAGGAGAAAAUGUUUUCAUGUACACUUGUCUUGUGAUCAUAGAAAUGAAUAAAAAUGUUGACA
rnacentral:lncRNA from 1 species